rnacentral:misc_RNA from 1 species
GAUGAGAACGUAGCGAAAUGCGAUAAUUAAUGUGAAUUGCAGAAUUCCGUGAAUCAUCGAGUCUUUGAACGCACAUUGCGCCUCAUGGCAUUCCGUGAGGCAUGCCCAUCUCAGCGUUAGAAAAUAUUCUCAAAUUUUAGUUUUGUGCUAAAAUUUGGAUCAUGUCAAAGAAGCUAUUACUAUUAUUGUGAUCGCUCUUUGGAAAUUGAUAGGUCUUUGAGUUGCUACUCAUAGAACGUGAUGAAUCUUUCUUCGUUCUAUUGUAAUUCACUCUGGUAGUCCUAAAACUUGUAUGCCUGUGGCAUAUCUUGUAAUUUGACCUGAGAUUGGGUAGGGAUACCCGCUGAACUUAAGCAUAUCAAUAAGCGGAGGA